GACGAACGCUGGCGGCGUGCUUAACACAUGCAAGUCGAACGGAAAGGCCCUGCUUUUGUGGGGUGCUCGAGUGGCGAACGGGUGAGUAACACGUGAGUAACCUGCCCUUGACUUUGGGAUAACUUCAGGAAACUGGGGCUAAUACCGGAUAGGAGCUCCUGCUGCAUGGUGGGGGUUGGAAAGUUUCGGCGGUUGGGGAUGGACUCGCGGCUUAUCAGCUUGUUGGUGGGGUAGAGGCUUACCAAGGCUUUGACGGGUAGCCGGCCUGAGAGGGUGACCGGCCACAUUGGGACUGAGAUACGGCCCAGACUCCUACGGGAGGCAGCAGUGGGGAAUAUUGCACAAUGGGCGGAAGCCUGAUGCAGCAACGCCGCGUGCGGGAUGACGGCCUUCGGGCUGUAAACCGCUUUCGCCUGUGACGAAGCGUGAGUGACGGUAAUGGGUAAGAAGCACCGGCUAACUACGUG
rnacentral:rRNA from 1 species